rnacentral:rRNA from 1 species
GACGGAGGAUGCAAGUGUUAUCCGGAAUCACUGGGCGUAAAGCGUCUGUAGGUGGUCAAUAAGUCAACUGUUAAAUCUUGAGGCUCAACCUCAAAAUCGCAGUCGAAACUAUUAGACUAGAGUAUAGUAGGGUAAAGGGAAUUCCAGUUGAGCGGUGAAAUGCGUAGAGAUUGGAAAGAACACCGAUGGCGAAGGCACUUUACUGGGCUAUUACUAACACUCAGAGACGAAAGCUAGGGUAGCAAUGGG